GAAAGAGCUUUGCUCUUCGUUGAAUAUCUGGCUCAAUGGCUGGGGCUGUCCAAACUCGGUACCAGCCUCUGUAGGCUUUGAAGAUUUCCUUGUUACAGGUCUUUUCCUUUUCUUUGGAGAAAAUGUAGGUGUACCUUGAUGCGGCUGAAUUUCGCCCUUUCCAGCAUCUGAAGCUCGAUCAAAGCUGGUAAGUCGUCGUUGUCGUUUAUCAUGAUAGACACGAAGGACCUGCUCCAAAGUCAAAUUCAGAUCUUUAGCAAUCUCCUCACAUUCCUUGAAUGAA
rnacentral:misc_RNA from 1 species